AUUGAACGCUGGCGGCAGGCUUAACACAUGCAAGUCGAGCGAGCGGCGGACGGGUGAGUAAUGUCUGGGAACCUGCCUGCUGGAGGGUGAUAACUACUUGACACGGUAGCUAAUACCGCAUACCAUCAGAUGUGCCGAGAUUGGAUUAGCUAGUAGGUGGGUUAAUGGCUCACCUAGGCGACGAUCCCUAGCUGGUCUGAGAGGAUGACCAGCAACACUGGAACGGAGACACGGUCCAGACGCCAAAGGGAGGCAGCAGUGGGGAAUAUGGCACAAUGGGGGAAAGCCUGAUGCAGCCAUGCCGCGUGGGUGAAGAAGGCCUGAGGGUUGUAAAGCACUUUCAGCGAGGAGGCGUUACUCGCAGAAGAAGCACCGGCGAACUCCGUGCCAGCAGCCGCGGUAAUUC
rnacentral:rRNA from 1 species